rnacentral:rRNA from 1 species
GGCGGUCUCCUCCCAAAGCGUAACGGAGGAGCACGAAGGUUAGCUAAUCCUGGUCGGACAUCAGGAGGUUAGUGCAAUGGCAUAAGCUAGCUUGACUGCGAGCGUGACGGCGCGAGCAGGUGCGAAAGCAGGUCAUAGUGAUCCGGUGGUUCUGAAUGGAAGGGCCAUCGCUCAACGGAUAAAAGGUACUCCGGGGAUAACAGGCUGAUACCGCCCAAGAGUUCAUAUCGACGGCGGUGUUUGGCACCUCGAUGUCGGCUCAUCACAUCCUGGGGCUGAAGUAGGUCCCAAGGGUAUGGCUGUUCGCCAUUUAAAGUGGUACGCGAGCUGGGUUUAGAACGUCGUGAGACAGUUCGGUCCCUAUCUGCCGUGGGCGCUGGAGAAUUGAGGGGGGCUGCUCCUAGUACGAGAGGACCGGAGUGGACGCAUCACUGGUGUUCGGGUUGUCAUGCCAAUGGCACUGCCCGGUAGCUAAAUGCGGAAGAGAUAAGUGCUGAAAGCAUCUAAGCACGAAACUUGCCCCGAGAUGAGUUCUCCCUGAGACUU